GCCCCGGUGACGGAACUGGCAUACGUCCCUGUCUCAGACACAGGGUUUUGAGGGUUCGAAUCCCUCCUGGGGUACCA
rnacentral:tRNA from 1 species